rnacentral:rRNA from 1 species
CUUUUUCUUCCACCGGAGCUUGCUCCACCGGAAGAAAAGGAGUGGCGAACGGGUGAGUAACACGUGGGUAACCUACCCUCGAGCAGGGGAUAACACUUGGAAACAGGUGCUAAUACCGCAUAACAAAGGAAACCGCAUGGUUUCCUUUUGAAAGGCGCUUUUGCGUCACUCGAGGAUGGACCCGCGGUGCAUUAGUUAGUUGGUGAGGUAAAGGCUCACCAAGACCGUGAUGCAUAGCCGACCUGAGAGGGUAAUCGGCCACACUGGGACUGAGACACGGCCCAGACUCC